GCGAGUCUACGACUUGGCUCAUGCGCAGUUGCACUGUUGUGCUUUCAGUGUUGUCUACCAUCGUCUGCGCAACAAUGAACCCCAAUGAACCCAAUUUCUGAGCUUGAAAUUGUUUUUCGUAGCAAUCCCGAAAAUGUACAGAGAGACUUGUUGCCGUACCAAAUUCUUGCCUUCUUUUGAGUAUGUGCUUGAAACAAAUAUGUCCUGGAGAGAACGGACCACCAUGCACCAUGAGAGAAGGAAUUGAGAAGGACAGCUUCCUGUCAAGAGAUCAUGUGGUGCCUUGAGGUUCCAGUCUUGAAUUUCUGCCCUUUACCUCAAAGCGAUGGCCUCUUGUAGGAGCAAAGCACAAUGGACUGGUGCCUGUACAUGCAAGUCAGAAGCUCAUGAUGAUAUGGUAGACACAACGAGGACCUUGCUGUCUAAAGCUCAGAGGCCAGAUGACAGAGUCUGAAGUACAUCCAGCUUUUCAGAAUUGGUUACAAAGAUGCAAGUGGACUUGUCUUCUGUAGUGGCUAAAGAGGAGCAGUCAGCAGAAGGACCGUGCAACAAUGUGGAUACCUCUCUCAAGUUCAUCUCUAAUCAGACACAUGGCUCUCCAGGAAUCAAGAUUUGACACUGGAGGUAGAGGAGUCUGUGACCCUCCUGACUGUGGACUACUAACUUGCAUUAUACAUGUACUAAAUUAAUGGAUUGAAGCACUACUGCACAAAACUCGACCAGUCAUGCUUGAACAAAUUGUAAUAAAUACUUGGUGAAGCAUUGAUAUAUGUAACUGGUAUUAGCCUUAAGGUACAGUUAAGCUUCUAAAUUUGAUAAAAAAACCUCAAGAACUUCAAGCUGCAACCCCCCCCCCCCCCUGCUCUUCUGUAAACCCUUCGAGCAAGGGAUUAAAUGAAUUAAAAUCCAAACUUAAUUACUAAUGAAUUGAUCUGUUAAUUAUUGUCAUCAUUUCAGGAUAGUUCUUUGUGUGGAGAUCAGUGAAUGGAUAUUUCCAUUUAAAAUGCAAGUGAGGUGUCUAUCUUCACUGGACAUGAAGGCUGGUUUUCAAAGAGAGAAGCAAGAAAGAUAGAUUGAUGUGAACUUAAUGACAUAGGGAAUGUUUCCCUGUAUUGUCGGAUUGAGGUUUGAAUGGCAUGGAUGUUGAAUAAUGUGAAGUUAGUGAAAAGAAUGG
rnacentral:lncRNA from 1 species